rnacentral:rRNA from 1 species
AUUGAAGGUGUCGGAUCCUGGGCGUAAGGGCGCGUAGGCGGUUCGGUAAGUCGUUGGUGAAAUCCCGGGGCUCAACUCCGGGGCUGCCGACGAAACUGCCGGGCUAGAGGCCGGUAGAGGCAGGUGGAAUUCCCGGUGUAGCGGUGGAAUGCGUAGAGAUCGGGAAGAACACCAGUGGCGAAGGCGGUCUGCUGGGCCGGUCCUGACGCUGAGGCGCGAAAGCGUGGGGAGCAAACAGGAUUAGAUACCCUGGUAGUCCACGCCGUAAACGAUGGGUACUAGGCGUCGGGGGGAGCGACCCCUUCGGUGCCGUCGCUAACGCAGUAAGUACCCCGCCUGGGGAGUACGGCCGCAAGGCUGAAACUCAAAGGAAUUGACGGGGGCCCGCACAAGCGGUGGAGCAUGUGGUUUAAUUCGAUGCAACGCGAAGAACCUUACCUAGGCUUGACAUGCACGUGAAAUCCAGUGGAAACACUGGCCCCUCUUCGGAGCACGUGCACAGGUGCUGCAUGGCUGUCGUC